rnacentral:tRNA from 1 species
GCCUCCAUCGUCUAUCGGCUAGGACGCGGCCCUUUCAAGGCUGAAAGAGGGGUUCGACUCCCCUUGGAGGCA